GCUAACUCCGUGCCGGCAUCCGCGGUAAUACGGAGGAUCCAAGCGUUAUCCGGAUUUAUUGGGUUUAAAGGGUGCGUAGGCGGCCUGUUAAGUCAGGGGUGAAAGACGGUAGCUCAACUAUCGCAGUGCCCUUGAUACUGAUGGGCUUGAAUACACUAGAGGUAGGCGGAAUGUGACAAGUAGCGGUGAAAUGCAUAGAUAUGUCACAGAACACCGAUUGCGAAGGCAGCUUACUAUGGUGUUAUUGACGCUGAGGCACGAAAGCGUGGGGAUCAAACAGGAUUAGAUACCCUGGUAGUCCACGCCCUAAACGAUGAAUACUCGCUGUUAGCGAUAUACAGUUAGCGGCUAAGCGAAAGCGUUAAGUAUUCCACCUGGGGAGUACGCCCGCAAGGGUGAAACUCAAAGGAAUUGACGG
rnacentral:rRNA from 1 species